rnacentral:rRNA from 1 species
CCUACGGGGGGCAGCAGUGGGGAAUAUUGGGCAAUGGAGGAAACUCUGACCCAGCAAUGCCGCGUGAAUGAAGAAGGUCUUCGGAUUGUAAAGUUCUUUAGUCAGGGAAGAAUAAAAUGACGGUACCUGAAGAAUAAGCUCCGGCUAACUACGUGCCAGCAGCCGCGGUAAUACGGAGGAUGCGAGCGUUAUCCGGAUUUAUUGGGUUUAAAGGGUGCGUAGGCGGGCUGUUAAGUCAGCGGUAAAAGCCCGGGGCUCAACCCCGGCGAGCCGUUGAAACUGGCUGUCUUGAGAUGUCGAGAGGUAUGCGGAAGGCGCAGUGUAGCGGUGAAAUGCUUAGAUAUUGCGCAGAACUCCGAUUGCGAAGGCAGCAUACCGGCGGCGAUCUGACGCUGAGGCACGAAAGCGUGGGUAUCGAACAGGAUUAGAUACCCUAGUAGUC